rnacentral:misc_RNA from 1 species
CUUAACAACCCCUUUCAAUUUCCAAUCCUUAGCUCCUAACUAUCUAUUCAAACACAAUUCAAGAAGAGAUUGAUAUUAUUCUUUAUAAUUUUUCCCAUUUCCAUGUUAUUUGCUGCUAAUUCUUCACCCUUCUGGUUAGACAAGUGUUUUGCUCAUUGUAAGUCUGAUUAGAUUAAGUGUAGAAAGAAAAAUAUGGAGAAUAGUUGGAGCUGGGAGCAGAAGACACUGAUUAGUGAGCUAAUCCAAGGGAUGGAGCUGGCAAAACAGUUGAGGGUACAUUUGAACACAGCAUCAUCUGUUGAAAUUAGGGACUCCUUAGUACAGAGGAUUUUAACUUCAUAUGAGAAGUCUCUCUUGAUUCUCAACUGGAGUGGAUCGCUGGGGCAGCAGCAGCAACAGCAACAGAAACAGCAGCAAAAUGUUGCAGCCACGGCUGGUAAUGUCCCAGAGUCUCCUUUAUCCAUGCAUGGCAGUCCUGGAAGUGAUGAUUUUGAUGGGGGUCACAAUGACGUCUCAAAGAAGAGAAAGACGAUGCCCAGAUGGACAGAUCAAGUUAGAGUGAUUUCUGAGAAUGGCCUGGAAGGACCCCAUGACGAUGGGUAUAGCUGGAGAAAGUAUGGGCAGAAAGAUAUUCUUGGAGCCAAAUAUCCCAGAAGCUAUUACAGAUGCACCUACAGAAAUACCCAGAACUGCUGGGCUACAAAGCAAGUGCAAAGAUCAGAUGAUGAUCACACCAUAUUUGAUGUCACUUACCGGGGACUACACACUUGUUGUCAUGGCCGACAAUCAGUUGCACCACCAGCAUCACCAGAAAAACAAGAACAGAAACAAAACAUUAAUCAACAGCAGCAAUCACAAGAUGCUCUCUUUAACUUUCAAAAGGUCCUGAAGGUUAAUACUGAGGACUUGGACAAUAAAGAGAUGGCAUUUCCUUUCUCUUUUCCUCCUGCAUAUGGAAGCAUGAAAACUUCAGGCACUUGUUCUCAAUCUUCUAUAUCUCCAGCCACCCCUGAAUCAAACUACUGCUCUGUUUCACCAUUCCAGACGAACAAUUUUGUAGGGGUUCAAAAUUUGCAGUACUGUUCUGAAUCCAAUUUCACUGAGAUAAUUUCCGCCAAUACUUCCGCUGCCAAUUCUCCAGUUGUGGAGCCAGAAUUCUCUCUUCAGUCACUGGAGUUGGAUCCAAACUUUCCAUUUGACACACCAGGAUUUUUCUCGUAACUCCAGUAAGACGCUAGAUUGAAGACUUCUCUUCCUCUUUGAUUGCCGGAACAAGAUCUGAUGUUCCUUUUUGGGCACCUCUUCUAUCAUUCCUGAGAGCUUGUCUCAGUCCCAAGACAAUGAAUAAGUUGAUUAGAGUGAGAAGUGACCACAGCCCCCCCAUGUAACGAAUGUACAUUAGACAAGGAAGUACAAUAAUGCACUUAGCUGCCCCAAGCCAAUAAAUUUUGAGUCUCAAUAGAAUUGUAGGUAAUAGUUAGUAUUCAAAGUAAAUCUUGCUCAACAGGAGUUACCAUAAAUUCCGGCUGGGACUGAGGACCAUCAGGAACAAAGUCAGUAAAGCACAACAAAGCUGUAGGCAGCAAAAAGCAUCCAACAAAUACAGGGAAAUACAUAAGAAUUGUUUUGCUGGCCAAAAGAAAAUUUAAUGCAGAAAGAAAGGGUGUUUUAAAAUCGUAUGACAAAAUAUUAAAUUAAUUCUACAGUUACAAUCCAAUCAUAUUGCAGCAUGCCACUUGUUCUUUUGGUUAAUCAUAUUUCCUGCCUGCCUUCUCUCUCUAACUGACGAAAAGAUUAAAACUAACUCUUGCCGACUUCAUGGUAGUCUAAAAAUAAACAGUCAAGAACAACAACAAAAAUGGAGGGAUCAAUUUAGAACAAGAGAGUAGUGAAUAUUAUUUGACAGAAGACUGAUCGCUCCUUAAAGCCAGAAGCCUCAGGAGAUAUGAAAAUUCACUCAAAACCAACUAAAAUACCCACUACUUCCCCUGAACCAAUGGGAAACAAGGGACAUACAGUAUUUUUUUACCCAACCAUCUACAUUGGCAGCCAUAAUUCAUGCUCCCAGCAGUACCAAAAAAUGAGCAAUGUUUGUUCAUGGUGCUUCUUAGGAGUUUUUGGGCUUGAUCUACAAUCUGUUAGACCUUGAAAUGUUAAAUGGAACAGGGUAAUUCAGGGCUCAGGCACAUAAAUACCAAAGAUACAGGAGAUGAAGACCAACCAAAAGAAUCAUCUUUUGUGAUACAAUGACAUAAUAACAUGUAAAAAGUUUAAAUAUCCAGACUGAUGGAGUCUGCUUUAACCGUGAUUCUGAUAGGUGUAGGACUAGCUUAAUAUCAGGUACAAUGAGCGAAAAAAUAAAAGACAACAGAAAUUAGAGAAAAAAAAAAAGUCAAACUGAAAUAGCAAAGGAUGGAGCUCUCUCAUAAGUCAUAACGUCUCCUUGCUGCUUCAGAUUGUCAUUUCAGUUUUCUUAUUCACAAUGCAUGCAAAUGAACAAGUUUUCACAGUGAUAACUCAAAUGAACUCAACCAAGUCUUAAUCUUAGCUAAUUGGAUCAACUACAUGAGUCCUUACUGUCCCACCCUAAUUAAUUUGUGCACCCAAUCCGACAAUUUCCACCUAAAAGUCCAAAACCCAUUCAUUCCAUCUAAAAAUAUGAACUUUUCCAUAAAAUUCAGCAUCAUUUGAAACCUUUCAAGCCCCAAAACAAAAUAAAAGGGGCACAAGUAGAUAAAGAAACUCAAUGGUAGCCCCGACGAAGGCAAGCAAGAAGUAGAACCCAAAGAGAAUUAGCUUAGAAGCAGUGUAUUUGGUAAUGCAGUGCAAGAAACCAAUGUAAGGAAACAAAGAAAACGCAAAGAGCUGAGAAGCAAUGCUCUGUGAAUCAAUGGUGGGUGCCCAUGGAUCAACCGGUAGCAACGACGCAGCACACACAAUCCCUCCUCCCUUCUUUCCACCAAGUCUUCCUCCUUUCCAGCACCUCAAAUCUUUAACUAUACACAAAUCUUUUCGGUGGUUUUGCAAGAAAGAAGAAGAACCCAUAAAGGAAACAGGGAGUAAAGAACAGGGCACUAUGCAUCGAGGUUGCAAACAAGAGAUCGUCAUUGGAGGAAGCAAGUUUUCUUGUUGGCUUUGCAAUGCAGGGCACCUACUCCCGUAUGUGGAUCAGAAGCUAUGACUUGUGAGAGAGGCCAGAGGAGCAUCCAAUUGGUGGAGAAUUGAGAUUCUUCGUCGUUAAUCGUUAAAAUGGGAAGUGGGUUGGUGUCUUUGAGCCCACAAACUUUAGGC